rnacentral:other from 1 species
AUUUCCCUGGAGUGUGCGUGAUUGUCACCGGAUUUUUUGUACCAAUGAUUUUAACUAGGGUGCCGCUACAGCGAGCCCGUGCGCAGACCCGGACCAUGUCCGGGGAGCCUGACGGCUUGCAGGCAGCGCCCACCAUGCUCUGCAUGGUUCAAAAAAUCUGGCAACACGGCUCUCCGGGGGCAUG